rnacentral:lncRNA from 1 species
AUCCACUACAAGAAACCAACAUGGUUUGAGGGAUCAAUUCCAGAAAGCUUAGAUAGGCUCCCCUGGGAUUAUAACACAGUGCCAAAGAGUCAUAUGAAGCUCAUGAAAUGCCAGGGUAUCCAUCAUAAGGGCAGGGUACAAAAGUGGGGAAUUUAAUAGACCAAUAGUUCUCUGGCCAUGCAAACCAAACUCCAGCCAGCAGACCAGAAAAAGUCUGGAACUAGUCCCAUGGAAGUGAAUGACAAGGCAUAAGAAGGGUACAAGGGACACAGGCAAAGGAACUGAGUUUCAAGGAUGGAAAAGGUGUAAACAUAUUUACAUGCUACAGGGAAAAAGUCAGAAGAGAAAGAGACGGAGCUUGAAGAUUCUGCAGAAGGAAGAGGUAACUGAGAUGGCAAAGUUCCAAGAGUAGAAGAGGAAGUGGAAUCAAAGUUCAAAUUGGUGAAGGAGUUAACUUGAACAGGACAUGAGGGAAACCUUAUUAUCAGAGACUAGAGGAAAGGAAGCAAGGAGCUACAGCGUUAAUGUCUGUAGGCGUGGAUGGCAAAAAGAUGAAAUGGUCCAUGCCCGAUUUCCUCUGUCUUCUCUAGAAGAGAUGAGCAAAGAUGUUGAACAAGGUGUUGGGAAAUGCAUAUUUAGAAUGGUCAUCGAGGGGCCAGCUCAGUGGCACAAUGGUUAAGUUCCCACGUUCUGUUUCAGGGGCCCAGGGUUCAUUGGUUUGGAUCCCGGGUGUGGACAUAGCACCACUUGGCAAGCCAUGCUGUGAUAGGCGUCCCACAUAUAAAAUAGAGGAAGAUGGGCACAGACGUUAGCUCAGGGCCAUUCUUCCUCAGCAAAAGAGGAGGAUUGGUGGGAGAUGUUAGCUCAGGGCUAAUCUUCCUCAAAAAGGAAAAAAAAGAAUGGUCAUCAAGGGCACCAGAACAUUGUAACCAAGGACAAAUGAAAAGACCUAUAUACAUGGUUCUGAACAUUAUUUUUACUCAAGAAAAUUUGAAGCCAAGGAUAAUAAUUGGUAUGAAGUUUCAAAAUUCCUGUUAUAAUGGCCAAUUCAAGUGUUAGGUUUCAGUUUCUACAGCCAAGUAUUUGGUAGUGAUUUGGGGGUUUAAAUGCAAUGAUAUUUUGUGAUGAACACUGUCAUUGCUACAGUACCUUUUCUAUUGACAUAUUUACCAAGUAUAUAAACAUAUUUACCAUAUAAUGAAAAAAAUAAAAUAAUGUAUACUGUAUAGUCACUUACACAGGACCUUUCUCCCAUCUUCAUUUAUUAAUCCCACUUGGGAACACAGGUAGACAGGAGUUCAUUUCCUUACUAAUUCUACCUCUCAAUUUUCAUUUCUCACCUAUCACCCUAAAGCAUGAACAUAGGACAAGGAAAAAUUCUUCCUGAAAUAGAUAUCAAAGGAUGUUGGCUCUUUGUUCAUGGAAGAAUUUCAUGAAAUAAGAUUGCCUAUAAAAUAAGCCCCAGGUGGUGUUGAUAACAAAAUCAAUACUAUUAUGGAAAUGUCAAACACCACUUCCUCGGAGAGACUUUUCCUGAAACACUCAGGUUCAGUUGGAAGCGUCCCCUCAGAGCUCUUUUAUGAAACCAAACACAGCUCUGACACAGCACUCGAUGUGAGAGAAUUAGGUUCCCUUAUCUGCCUGCCAUAAUAAACUCAGUGUCUUGAGAAUUGGGACUGUAGCUUAUUCAUUAUAUUUCUAGCACUUCAAAGACUGCUUGGUACAUUGUAGGCAAUAACAAACCGGUAAUUGAAUAAAGUAUUGAAAAUAAGUGAAUUAUUGAAUAAAAAAGUAGACGAAUAUUCUCACAUUCAGAAAAGAUAUAGAUUUCUUUGGUUUAGUACUAGACCACAAAGGUAAAGCAACAGUUUAUUUCCUCAAAACAAAAAUUAAAAAAAGAAAAGAAAAAAAAAAGUAAACUUUUCCAUUGUUGGCUGCAAGAAAAAGCAGACCAUAUAUCUCAUUGAUACAUGCAAUAGCUGGUGUCAUCCUUAUUUGCUUAGAAAAGCUAAAGAAAAAUGGAAGAAAUGCCAAGGAGCAAAACAUGUGCAAUUGCCUUCAUGAGCAAUGCUGCAAUACACAAUACGAUUGGCAAAAGGCUACUUUUUGGCCUGGUAGUCUAUGGCUCAGGAAGAGAAACUUCAAUUAACAGCUCAAGUCACUGCACUGCUGCAGGGAUGUAAAUCUCAGAGUAGACAGACCUCUUGUAUUGGCUUUUGGGUUUGCUAAGCAAAGAAGAAACAUGGAAAAGCUUUCUGCAGAUUCUUAAGGGUUACCAAAUUUUUCCCUUGUGUUCAUUUUUUUAGUCUUUAUUUUGAAUUCUUCAGUUCUGUGAGAAAGGAUGAAAAAGGUAAUUGAAUACUCGUUUUAUAGCAAAGGCAUUAGGCCUAGAAAUGAAAUUAUUCAUUUUAUAAAAUGUAUUGCUUUGUAAUAUUAAUAAAGAAAAUAC